GUUAAGUCCCGCAACGAGCGCAACCCUUGAUCUUAGUUGCCAGCAUUCAGUUGGGCACUCUAAGGUGACUGCCGGUGACAAACCGGAGGAAGGUGGGGAUGACGUCAAAUCAUCAUGCCCCUUAUGACCUGGGCUACACACGUGCUACAAUGGGUGGUACAAAGGGCAGCAAAACCGCGAGGUCGAGCCAAUCCCAUAAAACCACUCUCAGUUCGGAUUGUAGGCUGCAACUCGCCUACAUGAAGCUGGAAUCGCUAGUAAUCGCGGAUCAGCAUGCCGCGGUGAAUACGUUCCCGGGCCUUGUACACACCGCCCGUCACACCACGAGAGUUUGUAACACCCGAAGUCGGUGGGGUAACCGUAAGGAGCCAGCCGCCUAAGGUGGGACAGAUGAUUGGGGUGAAGUCGUAACAAGGUAGCCGUAUCGGAAGGUGCGGCUGGAUCACCUCCUUUCUGCGGCCGCUA
rnacentral:rRNA from 1 species